rnacentral:rRNA from 1 species
CCUACGGGAGGCAGCAGUCGAGAAUCAUUCACAAUUGGGGAAACCCUGAUGGUGCGACGCCGCGUGGGGGAAUGAAGGUCUUCGGAUUGUAAACCCCUGUCAUGUGGGAGCAAAUUAAAAAGAUAGUACCACAAGAGGAAGAGACGGCUAACUCUGUGCCAGCACCCGCGGUAAUACAGAGGUCUCAAGCGUUGUUCGGAAUCACUGGGCGUAAAGCGUGCGUAGGCUGUUUCGUAAGUCGUGUGUGAAAGGCGCGGGCUCAACCCGCGGACGGCACAUGAUACUGCGAGACUAGAGUAAGGGAGGGGGAACCGGAAUUCUCGGUGUAGCAGUGAAAUGCGUAGAUAUCGAGAGGAACACUCGUGGCGAAGGCGGGUUCCUGGACAUUAACUGACGCUGAGGCACGAAGGCCAGGGGAGCGAAAGGGAGUAGAUACCCUGGUAGUC